GAUGAACGCUAGCGGCAGGCUUAACACAUGCAAGUCGAACGGCAACACGGGUAGCAAUACCUGGUGGCGAGUGGCGCACGGGUGCGUAACGCGUAUGCAACCUGCCCCGCACAGUGGGAUAGCCCCGAGAAAUUGGGAAUAAUACCACAUGGAACCAUAAAGUGGCAUCACUUAAUGGUUAAAGGAAUCCGGUGCGGGAUGGGCAUGCGUGACAUUAGCUAGUUGGCGGGGUAACGGCCCACCAAGGCGACGAUGUCUAGGGGUUCUGAGAGGAUGAUCCGCCACACUGGAACUGAGACACGGUCCAGACUCCUACGGGAGGCAGCAGUGGGGAAUUUUGGACAAUGGGGGCAACCCUGAUCCAGCCAUGCCGCGUGAGUGAAGAAGGCCUGGUGU
rnacentral:rRNA from 1 species